ACUCAAAGGAAUAGACGGGGGCCCGCACAAGCAGCGGAGCAUGUGGUUCAAUUCGACGCAACGCGAAGAACCUUACCUGGGCUUGACAUGUUGGUGACAGCCGUGGAAACACGGUUUUCCUUCGGGACACCAUCACAGGUGGUGCAUGGCUGUCGUCAGCUCGUGCCGUGAGGUGUUGGGUUAAGUCCCGCAACGAGCGCAACCCCCGCCUCAUGUUGCCAGCGGGUAAAGCCGGGGACUCAUGAGGGACUGCCGGUGACAAACCGGAGGAAGGUGGGGAUGACGUCAAGUCAUCAUGCCCCUUAUGCCCAGGGCUACACACGUGCUACAGUGGCCGCUACAGAGGGCUGCGAUGCCGCGAGGCGGAGCGAAUCCCUAAAAGGCGGUCUCGGUUCGGAUUGGAGGCUGAAACUCGCCUCCAUGAAGCCGGAGUUGCUAGUAAUCGCGGAUCAGCAACGCCGCGGUGAAUACGUUCCCGGGCCUUGCACACACCGCCCGU
rnacentral:rRNA from 1 species